rnacentral:rRNA from 1 species
GUAGGGACCAAGCGUUGUUCGGAUUUACUGGGCGUAAAGGGCGCGUAGGCGGCGUGGUAAGUCAGCUGUGAAAUCUCCGAGCUUAACUCGGAACGGUCAGCUGAUACUGCUGUGCUAGAGUGCAGAAAGGGCAAUCGGAAUUCUUGGUGUAGCGGUGAAAUGCGUAGAUAUCAAGAGGAACACCUGAGGCGAAGGCGGGUUGCUAGGCUGACACUGACGCUGAGGCGCGAAAGCUAGGGUAGCAAACGGGAUUAGAUACCCCGGUAGUCCUAGCCCUAAACGAUGAAUGCUUGGUGUCUGGAGUUUUAAGUCUCCGGGUGCCGUCGCUAACGCUUUUAGCAUUCCGCCUGGGGAGUACGCACGCAAGUGUGAA